rnacentral:rRNA from 1 species
AUUGAACGCUGGCGGCAGGCUUAACACAUGCAAGUCGAGCGGAGAUGAGGUGCUUGCACCUUAUCUUAGCGGCGGACGGGUGAGUAAUGCUUAGGAAUCUGCCUAUUAGUGGGGGACAACAUUCCGAAAGGAACGCUAAUACCGCAUACGUCCUACGGGAGAAAGCAGGGGAUCUUCGGACCUUGCGCUAAUAGAUGAGCCUAAGUCGGAUUAGCUAGUUGGUGGGGUAAAGGCCUACCAAGGCGACGAUCUGUAGCGGGGCUGAGAGGAUGAUCCGCCACACUGGGACUGAGAUACGGCCCAGACUCCUACGGGAGGCAGCAGUGGGGAAUAUUGGACAAUGGGGGGAACCCUGAUCCAGCCAUGCCGCGUGUGUGAAGAAGGCCUUAUGGUUGUAAAGCACUUUAAGCGAGGAGGAGGCUACUGAGACUAAUACUCUUGGAUAGUGGACGUUACUCGCAGAAUAAGCACCGGCUAACUCUGUGCCAGCAGCCGCGGUAACAC